GUGCUUAGCAACACCCCUCCCGAAGCCGCAGCUCCUGAGGCCGGUCCUCUUCCAGGUGGCCCCUCAAGGCCCCGCUCCAGGACCUGCCCAGGCUCGGCUGGAGCAAAGGCUGUCAGACCCUUCCUGCCAUCUCCUCACCCCCAGGGCCUCUGUUAGUGGACAGUGAAACCAAGGACGCGAAACUGCCCUGUAGCCAGCUGCUGCUGGCCCUGAAGCCGCUGCCAAGCCCGUCCCCCUGAGCAGAAGCUCUGGAACACCAGAGCCCCGACCCCAGGCUGUGGCUCCAUCGAGGCCCCAGGUCUCAGGACCCUCCCGAUGGAUGUCCAGGAUGGUUUGUCACAGGCCACGGCCUGCUAUCCAUGCCCUAGGAGUGGGACCUCAGUGGGAAGGAGGGAUGUUGGGCAGACCCGUCCGUCUCA
rnacentral:lncRNA from 1 species